CAGCCGCCACGGUAAUACGAAGGGUGCAAGCGUUAAUCGGAAUUACUGGGCGUAAAGCGUGCGUAGGCGGUUUGUUAAGUCUGUUGUGAAAUCCCCGGGCUCAACCUGGGAAUGGCAAUGGAUACUGGCAAGCUAGAGUGUGUCAGAGGAUGGUGGAAUUCCCGGUGUAGCGGUGAAAUGCGUAGAGAUCGGGAGGAACAUCAGUGGCGAAGGCGGCCAUCUGGGACAACACUGACGCUGAGGCACGAAAGCGUGGGGAGCAAACAGGAUUAGAUACCCGGGUAGUCCCUGUCUCUUAUAA
rnacentral:rRNA from 1 species